rnacentral:tRNA from 1 species
GGUGCAGCUCAGUGGUAGAGCACUUGCCUAGCAUUCUCAAGGGCCUGGGUUAGAUCACCAGUACCA